rnacentral:rRNA from 1 species
UACAGAGGGUGCGAGCGUUGUCCGGAAUCACUGGGCGUAAAGGGCGCGUAGGCGGCCUGGCAAGUCAAUGGUGAAAGCUCAGGGCUCAACUCUGAGUCGGCCACUGAUACUGCUGGGCUGGAGUCUGGUAGAGGCAGAUGGAAUUCCGGGUGUAGCGGUGGAAUGCGUAGAGAUCCGGAAGAACACCGGUGGCGAAGGCGGUCUGCUGGGCCAGUACUGACGCUGAGGCGCGACAGCGUGGGGAGCAAACAGG